GCCGGUUUAGCUCAGCUGGUAGAGCAGCGGUUUUGUAAACCGAAGGUCGCGGGUUCGAUUCCUGCAACCGGCACCA
rnacentral:tRNA from 103 species